CCUGCGGAAGGAUCAUUAUCGUACAACAUGUGUGAGGCGCGCGAGGGCUGUCGCUGACUUUUUGAAACACAAAAGUCGUGCACGCCGGAGCGUGUCCUCUCACAAUAAAAUCCAUCUCACCCUUUUGUGCACCACCGCGUGGGCACCUUUUGGGAUCGAACCGAUCCUGGAGGGGGCUUGCGUUUUCACACAAACCCCUUUUAAAAAGUGUAGAAUGACCCCACUUUGCGAUGACACGCAAUCAAUACAACUUUCAACAACGGAUCUCUUGGCUCUCGCAUCGAUGAAGAACGCAGCGAAAUGCGAUACGUAAUGUGAAUUGCAGAAUUCAGUGAAUCAUCGAAUCUUUGAACGCACCUUGCGCCCCUUGGUAUUCCGAGGGGCACACCCGUUUGAGUGUCGUGAAAAUCUCAACCUUCUCGGUUUUCUUCUGGACACCGAAGGAGGCUUGGACUUUGGAGGCCUUUGCUGGCAUCUCUCUCUUUUUGAGAGCCAGCUCCUCUUAAAUGAAUUAGCGGGGUCCUCUUUGCCGAUCCUCGACAUGUGAUAAGAUGUUUCCAUGACUUGGUUUCUGGCUCUGUUGCCUUUGGGACCCGCUCCUAACCGUCUCGACGAGACAACGUUUGGGCGUGUCUCCCUUCUCGGGAGACUCCUCGACCCCACGAACCCUGACCCA
rnacentral:rRNA from 1 species